CGGAGAUAUUCAAGAAUCACCGGAGAAUUUCAACGGUCACCGCCGGAAAAAAAUCAGGCUAAAAACGAGAGGAUUCCAGGGAUGAAACAUGGUGGUUUUUACAGAGAGAGAUGCAGGGAUGGGAUGGUGGUGAUGAGUCAACUUGUGCAGAUUUAUUUUUGUAUUGAUUUAUAUAUUUAUAUGAAGAAGAUUAUUUGUUUUCAGUU